rnacentral:rRNA from 1 species
UACGUAGGGUGCGAGCGUUGUCCGGAAUUACUGGGCGUAAAGAGCUCGUAGGUGGUUUGUCGCGUUGUUCGUGAAAACUCACAGCUCAACUGUGGGCGUGCGGGCGAUACGGGCAGACUGGAGUACUGCAGGGGAGACUGGAAUUCCUGGUGUAGCGGUGGAAUGCGCAGAUAUCAGGAGGAACACCGAUGGCGAAGGCAGCUCACUGGGACGGUACUGACGCUGAGACGCGAAAGCGUGGGGAGCAAACAGG